rnacentral:rRNA from 1 species
GGGCCCGCACAAGCGGAGGAACAUGUGGUUUAAUUCGAUGAUACGCGAGGAACCUUACCCGGGCUCGAACGGCUUUAGAAUAUAUCAGAGAUGGUAUAGCCAGCAAUGGCUGAAGUCGAGGUGCUGCAUGGUUGUCGUCAGCUCGUGCCGUGAGGUGUCGGCUUAAGUGCCAUAACGAGCGCAACCCUUGUCGUUAGUUACCAUCAGGUUAUGCUGGGGACUCUAACGAGACUGCCACCGUAAGGUGUGAGGAAGGGGGGGAUGACGUCAAAUCAGCACGGCCCUUACGUCCGGGGCGACACACGUGUUACAAUGGUAGGUACAGAGGGCAGCUACCCAGUGAUGGGAUGCGAAUCUCUAAAGCCUAUCUCAGUUCGGAUUGGAGUCUGCAACUCGACUCCAUGAAGUUGGAUUCGCUAGUAAUCGCGCAUCAGCCAUGGCGCGGUGAAUACGUUCCCGGGCCUU